rnacentral:rRNA from 1 species
UUAAAUGUUCUUCGUGAACAUAGCGAACUGCUCAGUAACACGUGGAUAACCUACCCUUAGGACCGGAAUAACCCCGGGAAACUGGGGAUAAUACCGGAUAAGCCAUAGACGCUGGAAUGCACUAUGGUUCAAAGCUCCGGCGCCUAAGGAUGGAUCUGCGGUCUAUCAGGUUGUAGUGGGUGUAACGUACCUACUAGCCGACGACGGAUACGGGUUGUGAGAGCAAGAGCCCGGAGAUGGAUUCUGAGACACGAAUCCAGGCCCUACGGGGUGCAGCAGGCGCGAAUUCUUUACAAUGCAGGCAACUGCGAUAAGGGGACACCGAGUGCCAGUGAAUUUCAUUGGCUGUCUUAAUGUUUAAAACGCAUUCAAUAGCAAGGGCUGGGCAAGACCGGUGCCAGCCGCCGCGGUAAUACCGGCAGCCCGAGUGGUAACCACUAUUAUUGGGUCUAAAGGGUCCGUAGCCGGGCCAAUCAGUCUUCUGGGAAAUCUGGCAGCUCAACUGUCAGGCGACUAGGGGAUACUGUUGGCCUUGGGACCGGAAGAGGUAAGAGGUACUUUAGGGGUAGGAGUGAAAUCUUGUAAUCCUUAAGGGACCACCAGUGGCGAAGGCGUCUUACCAGAACGGGUCCGACGGUGAGGGACGAAAGCUAGGGGCGCAAACCGGAUUAGAUACCCGGGUAGUCCUAGCCGUAAACGAUGUUCGCUAUGUGUCAGGGACGGCGUGACCGUUCCUGGUGCCGAAGGGAAGCUGUGAAGCGAACCACCUGGGAAGUACGGCCGCAAGGCUGAAACUUAAAGGAAUUGGCGGGGGAGCACUACAACGGGAGGAGCCUGCGG